UCUUAUGUUGGCAGAAGGUGUCUGGAGCUGUGAAGUUACCCUGCAGCACUUCGACCUUUUUCCUAACUUUCUUUCAGAUGCGGAUGGAUCGACCUCCCGGCAGAGCGCCUCGUCCCAGAUGAGGGGAUCCCCCUGAGAAGGAAGUAAAGCUGGAUAGCAGCAGUGAAGGUGAAGCAUUGUGAAGGUGGUCUACUUGCAAGAUAUCCCAGCCCAGGAUGCCAGAGGACAGGUUCCGUGCAGAGAGGCAGAGCCGAAGUUUGCGAUCCGCCGCACCGAAGCCGGCGCGGGGGACGUCUCAAUGUACACAUCCUAUCGAGGAUGGGUCUUGUCCUAUUACGUUACAAAAGGUCUCCGAUACCUAUUUUCUGAGGAUCUACCAUUUGAUGUUGAGAAGCAGCAGC